CAGUCGCCGCGGGAAUACGUAGGUGGCAAGCGUUGUCCGGAAUUAUUGGGCGUAAAGCGCGCGCAGGUGGUUUAAUAAGUCUGAUGUGAAAGCCCACGGCUCAACCGUGGAGGGUCAUUGGAAACUGUUAAACUUGAGUGCAGGAGAGAAAAGUGGAAUUCCUAGUGUAGCGGUGAAAUGCGUAGAGAUUAGGAGGAACACCAGUGGCGAAGGCGGCUUUUUGGCCUGUAACUGACACUGAGGCGCGAAAGCGUGGGGAGCAAGCAGGAUUAGAGACCCCCGUAGUCCCUGUCUCUUAUCC
rnacentral:rRNA from 1 species